UAGGCUAUCAUUACACAACCGUGGCUGGCUUCUGAGCUGUGCAACACCCUGCGGCACCUCGGCAGCAGCACGCCGGCCCGCGAGGCUCUCCAGCAAAGGAGUAACCCCACCAGCUGGCUGGGCGAGAGCCGCAUUUACCACCCGGGGGGGAGAAGGUGUGAGCAGGAGAGGCAACGUGGGGGCUCUGACAGGCAGGGGCAGCCCUGUUGGGAGCGCUCCCGAUGCCCCGAGCAACCUCUGGCAGCACGGGGGGACGGCAGCCUGCUCGCUGGCAUGGGGAGCUGCUCCUUAAUUGCUGUGGCGUUGUGCAAAUGCGGUGGGAAUUUCACAGAGGACAUAACGCAUCCUAAAACGAUUGUUUUUAUUCCUUGGAGGCAUUACCUUGGACUCCUGCUGGUGUGGAGCCCUUCCUCCUCCCGCUCUCAGAACUGCACCGCAGGGCACCGCUUGUGCUUGUGGCCCCCACCCACAGCUGCACCCUGACCCCCAGCGAGUAAUAGACUGUACCCUGCUUCCUGAGGUCAAAAUGCCGUGGGGAGGCAGGCCUGCAGCCGUGCUCUGAACAAGUGUAAGAGUGGCGCUGGCAGGCUGAGAAGCAGAGAAGCACACAGACUGCACGUUUCCUCAGGAUGUCUCAUCUCAGCAGCGGUGUCUCCUGCUGACGAUACGGGCAGGCUGCAAAGUGCCACCGUCUGUAUCUGCAUUUGGAGAAGCCCAUGACGGUCCACCUUCUGGGGGAGACAGAGCUGCCAUGUGAAGGAUAUGGGUAGCGUAGGAUGGUGUUACGUGCUGCUUCCUGGAGGCGGAAGAUACUGCUUCCCGACGACAUCGCUUCCCAAAUUCCCUAUCUGCAGAUGGCUGCGUGCCAGCGCUUUGGAGCACUGAUUAGAUCUGAAUGUGAGACUUCCCACAAUUCAGGGGAAACUGCGAGGUGGAGCAGGGCCUGGGGUUCCUGCUCAGGCUCGCUCCUGACAUGCGCAGGUAUCCCUAGCAGGCUGCUGCUGUUGGCAGAGGGCCCCCUAUGCCCCUCGCCUGCACUGGGCCCACAAAGUCGUAAUUCCUUCAGAUGCAGUAGGAUUUCUUUCCAUGUACCCGUGAGGGGGAGGAGGAUAUGGCUUGUCACUUUUUUUUUGCCCCCAUUCUCACGCCAAUUUUGGUGCAAUAUAACGGGCCUGCCUUGUCAAACUCAGAGGGAGUUUUGCCAUUAAUUGCAGCUCAAGCAGGCAUAUUGCUGAACGUGAUAAAAUCCAACAGAAAUCUUUAAAACUCCCCAGCUCACCUCCUUUGCUGCAGUUAAUUUUCUGUCCAUGACUUUUCUACAAAAUCCUAUACAGCUCAAACAUGCAAUUCAAGAAGCCUUACUGCCUUGACCUAAGCGCUAAGGCAUUGCACAAGCUGCCUGCCAGAUAGCACAGCCCCCGCCGUUACAGACAGGUAAUUAGGUCACCACUCGUGAACUUUUGACAUGCACAGACUUACGGCCUGAUAACAUGGAUGCCCUCAAGCAAGUCAGGGCAAUCGGCUUAUCGCCAUGAAUCUAAGGAGCAUUGAACUCUAAACAGUCAUUUAGAGUAAGAUGGCUUCGGUCCCCGUGUUUUAAUCCUACCCGAAGGCACACAGCUCGUCUAGGGGAUGUCUUGCUGGAGAUACCUGAGGGAACAGGGGGAGCAGCUGUGCUGUUGCAGUAUCAUGCAUGGGCGCUCACUUGGGUCUGCAUGGACACGUCUGCAGAGCCUGUUUUGCACGGGCUUUAGCACAUUAGGAGUCAUCUGCAUCUCUGUGGCACAACCAGCCCUCAGAGGCGAUGCAGGACCGUGACAGAAGAUGGUAGCUAAGGACCGAGCCUGGUGGAGCUGUGGUUCCAGGUGUGCACAAGAGCCUCUGCAGGAGGUGGGGAGGUGUCCAAAAAAUGUCUGCUGUCGUCUUUCGUAAGUGGAAAAUGCCGGAGAUGAUCAGCUCACCUCCCUCUCACCUUGCUUUAUUUGUGUAUUCUGCUUUUUUUUUUUUCCUCGUCCUGCAUCUCGAGGCACUUUCCCAUCGGCUCACGCUGUUAUGUCACUCUCCAGUGGGUGAACUCAGUACGACCAGGAAACACUGAAGGAAAAUGAGAUGCAGAUGUGCUGACUGCAUUCAUACUCCCCUUCACUGCAGUUGCUGCUGGAGAGCUUGGACUGUUGCUUUGACUUUGUUCCUCCGCGGAGCGCGCUCGCAUUAAAAUGUCAAUCUUAUCUGCGUUUCAGUUCAGCGUGCCUGCCCCUGCGGAACAGAUUGUUCAAUGCACUUACAUCCUCCCCAGUCGCCCUCCAAGGGGAUGACUCAGUCUGUAAUACAGCACAUCUGGUUGGGACUACAGAGGACACUGGAACCUAGCAGGGGCUUGGAUCUGCCGUUCCGUUAUGUCAUGUCUGAGCAUCGCCUGUUUGUGUGUUUUCAGAAAACCCAGAUAAAAGAAUAUGAAAGGAGAAGAGUGAAAAAAAGGUUUUCUCCAUAAAUUAAUAGUGACCUCAAAGCUCCCAUGCUGGAAAAAUUGCUGUGUGAUGCAAUGCCAGUAAAAUAGAAGCAAAUGUCACUUCACAGAAAAAGCAGUUAUAUUUCUGAUUAAUUGCUGUGUUUUUUGAGGUUUCAGUAAAAAUGGCUGCUGAUUAUUUCUGAAACUUAUGAUGACUGUCUUAGUGCAUAACCCCUUCUUAACAUCAAUUUGGCAAACAGAAAGGGAAAUAUAUCAUACGAUAUUCCGCUUGUAGGGCCAAGUUCUGUCAUCUAUCUGCUUGCAAAGCCUCUGUUGACUGCCUUGGGAUUUCUCCUUGCAGAAUGAUGGCAGGACAUGAUCCAGACCCAAUAUAAAUGUAACAUAUGAACCAGUAUAUCUUCAGAUGGAGAAAACGUGUGUGGAAUUUCCCUGUGCUAUCUUGUGCAUGCUUUAUAGGGCAACUACAUCCACAGUUAUUGAAAAGAAGCACAGACGUCUGUGGUUAGACAUCAAUGACUUGUGGGAGGGAAAAGAGGGAAACUGGAAGACUUAGAAUUUGUGCUCGAUUGGUUUACUGAGAAAUACAAGGCGAGAGAAAUGAAAACAGUUCAGAAUAGCACUGUAAAGAGGGGAAAUUGGCAUUGCUGGCAACACUGAUGAAAUGUAAUGUCCUUGCCAGGAGAGUAUAAAUUAUGGGUUUCCUGAUAGAAAAUGUUGAUGAGGCCAGUAGGGGGGAGAGUCUGAGGAAAAAUGUAUGCCUGUGGAAACUGAUUUUUAUUUUGGUGAUGACUGAAAAUAACCAUGAAGCCUGGAACUUGUAAACCUGGGAAUCCUGAAAUUAAUAACUUUUAAGAGUUAACUGUUGGAGAGUGCCAUCCCCAUGAGGACUGUUACUUGCUUUUCGGGUUUUGCAUAUCCUUGCCUACUUUAAGUGCUCAGACUCACUGCUGUCCACAUAACAUCUUGUGAAGCAGUGGUUAUCCAAGAUAGCAGCCUUCAUUUAAACAGCAGUCAAGGUGGCUGCAGGAAGUGCUGGUGGCAGCGGGGUGUUUGCUUAGUGGCUCUGCUUUGGGUAGGUUUUAUAUUGCACACAUCGCUGCACCACCUGAUUUAUGUCUGCCUUAGGUGUGCUGCGUGCCACCUCCAUCUGUCCUGUGCUAUUUUUUUCUUGUUCUCUCUUUGCAGGAAGAAAUGCGUACAACAUAGUACUGUGCUUCUGAAGAGUUUCUUGUUUAAAUCUAUACCGUGGGACACACUGGAGCUCUGGAGGUCUCUUGUCCAAACCCCUGCUCAAAGCAAGUCUAGCUUUACAGUAAGACCACACUUUCCAGGGCUGUGCUCAGGCACACUCUGAAUAUCUCCAAAGAUGGAGAUUUCAAAGUUUCGCUGGGCUGUAGGCUUGCUUCAUCAAGUAGGAUGAUCCUUCUUUAUAACAUUCAAUGCUUGGUGCUGAUCCAGAUUUUAGGCCUUUACAACAGAGGAUGCUAUUUAUCGCCUUUGGGGCAGGCUUUGGCUGCUUGAGUAGAAGCAGAUGAAGGAAGGUUUUCUUGGCCUGACAGCAAACCUCAUUGUCAGCCCCAAGAAACUUGAUCUAAAGAGUUUUCCACAAAGGCGAGCCUCAGGCUACCUGGCAGAAAGGAAGAGGCUCCUGCGGGGAAUGGUUCAGAGCACCUCUGUGAAGCUCCUCCUUUGAAAUGCCCUCCAGAAGCACUUGUCUACCCUCAGCGAUAACAGAAGAGGCAUAGGAAGAUUAGCUUCCCCUCUGCUUCCUCUGUGCACGAGUCAGUGAGCCAUCCACCAUUAAGCCUGAAAUUUGCUCCCUUUUUUUUCUUCAUCUGGACAGAAAGCUAUGGAGAUCUGGAAGGACAAGGGGGAGAAAGGUGCUGUUUAAGAGCAACGUUUCAACAGCUUGGAUUUGUAUGCAGUGAUGGUAAUGCUGCUGAGUCCCCAGCCCGUCAGCUCCUCAUCCUGUGCAUGGGUUGUGACCGUCCUUUAGCAGACUCUGGAAUUUGUUGAGAAAUAGCAGUAUUUGCAAACAGCCACUGUUUUUCAUUGCCUGGGAGCUGAAAAGUCUCUGUCUUAUAAGACAUCUUCCCUUCUAAAUUGCAAACCAAACCCGCUGCUUUUGCACUUGGUGGCUCUUCUCUUCACAUGCAGUUCUGUUGAUGGCAAGAUCUGCGCCUCGUGUUCCUGGCAGAUGGGGCAGGGCCUCCUGUCUAUUCAUUUAGGAGG